rnacentral:rRNA from 1 species
AGGUAAGCUACUAAGAGCGAAUGGUGGAUGCCUUGACUGGUAAAGGCGAUGAAGGACGUACUAGACUGCGAUAAGCUACGGGGAGCUGUCAAGAAGCUUUGAUCCGUAGAUUUCCGAAUGGGGCAACCCAAUGUAUAGAGAUAUACAUUACCUAUAUAGGAGCGAACGAGGGGAAUUGAAACAUCUUAGUACCCUCAGGAAAAGAAAUCAAUAGAGAUUGCGUCAGUAGCGGCGAGCGAAAGCGUAAGAGGGCAAACCCAGUGCUUGCACUGGGGGUUGUAGGACUGCAAUGUGCAAGAGGUGAGUUUAGCAGAACAUUCUGGAAAGUAUAGCCAUAGAGGGUGAUAGUCCCGUAUGCGAAAAACAAACCUUAGCUAGCAGUAUCCUGAGUAGGGCGGGACACGAGAAAUCCUGUCUGAAGCUGGGUCGACCACGAUCCAACCCUAAAUACUAAUACCAGAUCGAUAGUGCACAAGUACCGUGAGGGAAAGGUGAAAAGAACUGAGGUGAUCAGAGUGAAAUAGAACCUGAAACCAUUUGCUUACAAUCAUUCAGAGCACUAUGUAGCAAUACAGUGUGAUGGACUGCCUUUUGCAUAAUGAGCCUGCGAGUUGUGGUGUCUGGCAAGGUUAAGCAAACGCGAAGCCGUAGCGAAAGCGAGUCUGAAUAGGGCGCUUAGUCAGAUGCUGCAGACCCGAAACGAAGUGAUCUAUCCAUGAGCAAGUUGAAGCUAGUGUAAGAACUAGUGGAGGACUGAACCCAUAGGCGUUGAAAAGCCCCGGGAUGACUUGUGGAUAGGGGUGAAAGGCCAAUCAAACUUCGUGAUAGCUGGUUCUCUCCGAAAUAUAUUUAGGUAUAGCGUUGUGUCGUAAUAUAAGGGGGUAGAGCACUGAAUGGGCUAGGGCAUACACCAAUGUACCAAACCCUAUCAAACUCCGAAUACCUUAUAUGUAAUCACAGCAGUCAGGCGGCGAGUGAUAAAAUCCGUCGUCAAGAGGGAAACAACCCAGACUACCAGCUAAGGUCCCUAAAUCUUACUUAAGUGGAAAACGAUGUGAAGUUACUUAAACAACCAGGAGGUUGGCUUAGAAGCAGCCAUCCUUUAAAGAAAGCGUAAUAGCUCACUGGUCUAGUGAUUUUGCGCGGAAAAUAUAACGGGGCUAAAGUAAGUACCGAAGCUGUAGACUUGAUUUUAUCAAGUGGUAGGAGAGCGUUCUAUUUGCGCCGAAGGUAUACCGGUAAGGAGUGCUGGAGCGAAUAGAAGUGAGCAUGCAGGCAUGAGUAGCGAUAAUUAAUGUGAGAAUCAUUAACGCCGUAAACCCAAGGUUUCCUACGCGAUGCUCGUCAUCGUAGGGUUAGUCGGGUCCUAAGUCGAGUCCGAAAGGGGUAGACGAUGGCAAAUUGGUUAAUAUUCCAAUACCAACAUUAGUGUGCGAUGGAAGGACGCUUAGGGCUAAGGGGGCUAGCGGAUGGAAGUGCUAGUCUAAGGUCGUAGGAGGUUAUACAGGCAAAUCCGUAUAACAAUACUCCGAGAACUGAAAGGCUUUUUGAAGUCUUCGGAUGGAUAGAAGAACCCCUGAUGCCGUCGAGCCAAGAAAAGUUUCUAAGUUUAGCUAAUGUUGCCCGUACCGUAAACCGACACAGGUGGGUGGGAUGAGUAUUCUAAGGCGCGUGGAAGAACUCUCUUUAAGGAACUCUGCAAAAUAGCACCGUAUCUUCGGUAUAAGGUGUGGUUCGCUUCGUAUUAGGAUUUACUCCGAAAGCGAAGAAACUUACAACAAAGAGUCCCUCCCGACUGUUUACCAAAAACACAGCACUCUGCUAACUCGUAAGAGGAUGUAUAGGGUGUGACGCCUGCCCGGUGCUCGAAGGUUAAUUGAUGGGGUUAGCAUUAGCGAAGCUCUUGAUCGAAGCCCGAGUAAACGGCGGCCGUAACUAUAACGGUCCUAAGGUAGCGAAAUUCCUUGUCGGUUAAAUACCGACCUGCAUGAAUGGCGUAACGAGAUGGGAGCUGUCUCAAAGAGGGAUCCAGUGAAAUUGUAGUGGAGGUGAAAAUUCCUCCUACCCGCGGCAAGACGGAGAGACCCCGUGGACCUUUACUACAGCUUGACACUGCUAUUUGGAUAAGAAUGUGCAGGAUAGGUGGGAGGCUUUGAGUAUAUGACGCCAGUUGUAUAUGAGCCAUUGUUGAGAUACCACUCUUUCUUAUUUGGGUAGCUAACCAGCUUGAGUUAUCCUCAAGUGGGACAAUGUCUGGUGGGUAGUUUGACUGGGGCGGUCGCCUCCCAAAUAAUAACGGAGGCUUACAAAGGUUGGCUCAGAACGGUUGGAAAUCGUUCGUAGAGUAUAAAGGUAUAAGCCAGCUUAACUGCAAGACAUACAAGUCAAGCAGAGACGAAAGUCGGUCUUAGUGAUCCGGUGGUUCUGUGUGGAAGGGCCAUCGCUCAAAGGAUAAAAGGUACCCCGGGGAUAACAGGCUGAUCUCCCCCAAGAGCUCACAUCGACGGGGAGGUUUGGCACCUCGAUGUCGGCUCAUCGCAUCCUGGGGCUGGAGCAGGUCCCAAGGGUAUGGCUGUUCGCCAUUUAAAGCGGUACGCGAGCUGGGUUCAGAACGUCGUGAGACAGUUCGGUCCCUAUCUGCCGUGGGCGUAAGAAGAUUGAAGAGAUUUGACCCUAGUACGAGAGGACCGGGUUGAACAAACCACUGGUGUAGCUGUUGUUCUGCCAAGAGCAUCGCAGCGUAGCUAAGUUUGGAAAGGAUAAACGCUGAAAGCAUCUAAGCGUGAAGCCAACUCUAAGAUGAAUCUUCUCUAAGCUCUCUAGAAGACUACUAGUUUGAUAGGCUGGGUGUGUAAUGGAUGAAAGUCCUUUAGCUGACCAGUACUAAUAGAGCGUUUGGCUUAUCUUU